GUCUAUAGCCAUGCUACCCUGAACAAACCUGAUCCAUCUGAUCUUGGUGGCUAAGCAGGGUUGGGCCUAGUUAGUACUCGGAUGGGAAACCACCUAGGAAGACCAGGUGCUGUAGGCA
rnacentral:rRNA from 1 species